CCGGCCUACGGGAGGCAGCAGUGAGGAAUAUUGGUCAAUGGGCGGGAGCCUGAACCAGCCAAGCCGCGUGAGGGAAGAAGGUACAGCGUAUCGUAAACCUCUUUUGUCAGGGAACAAAGGCGGGGACUAGUCCCCGGAUGAGGGUACCUGAAGAAAAAGCAUCGGCUAACUCCGUGCCAGCAGCCGCGGUAAUACGGAGGAUGCGAGCGUUAUCCGGAUUUAUUGGGUUUAAAGGGUGCGCAGGCGGAGGUGCAAGUCAGCGGUCAAAUUGCGGGGCUCAACCCCGUACUGCCGUUGAAACUGCA
rnacentral:rRNA from 1 species